AGUUGUAUGUAAGAAAAUAUGAGAUACAAUGGAUCAAAAUGAGUUCUCCAGAGAGGCACCAAAAUUUACUAUGGGAGCAUGGAGGACAAUGAGAUGAUCUCUGCCUGGGGAUGGGGGCACAUUGAUGGAAGUGAGCAGGCGAUCUGAGUGCAGAGGCACAGAAGUCAUCAGGCGGAGGCUGGGAAGCAGGGCUCUCCCAGGUAGUAAGAACAUCCUGCUUAAAAGCCCAGAAAGUAGGACAACAGGUCAGUAACUGAAUUAGCCAAAUAUUCAGAAGAAGGCAGCAUGCCCCAAAUGUCUCCAGUCACAAUUAAGCUACUGGCUUUCCUUCUGCAUGGAACUGGGUUCGUUGCCAAACAUUCCUGUCAAGUGAGGGCAGCUACAAAUUCAGCGUUUCCAAUGGAAAACUCAUGAUUUCCUGCUCUGCUUCCAAGAUCUGGGUAUCAGAGAUCCAUAUAGAAGCCCAGCUUCAGCAACUACCUGGUGGCAAGGAAGAAGAGUCCUCGACACAGACAUCGUAGGUGAACUCCUCCAGAAUGAGAUCAACAGGAUCAGAAAUGCCCUUCCAUUUCCAUUAAGCCCCCCAGUUAAGAACACUGAAUUGGAGUAAGGAAUUAAUGGGAGGAGACCUGUGAAAAUUCCUAUACACUGCUUGAGAAGAAUGGCAGACCAACUAAUUAACUCAUCCAGUAAUUUGUCAUAUUAAAUUAU
rnacentral:lncRNA from 1 species